rnacentral:rRNA from 1 species
UUCCGGUUGAUCCUGCCGGAGGCCAUUGCUAUCGGAGUCCGAUUUAGCCAUGCUAGUUGCACGAGUUCAGGCUCGUAGCAGAUAGCUCAGUAACACGUGGCCAAACUACCCUCUGGAGCGCAAUAACCUCGGGAAACUGAGGCUAAUGGCGCAUACGGCUCGCUGCCUGGAGUGGCGCGAGCUCGAAACGCUCCGGCGCCAGAGGAUGUGGCUGCGGCCGAUUAGGUAGACGGUGGGGUAACGGCCCACCGUGCCAGUAAUCGGUACGGGUUGUGAGAGCAAGAGCCCGGAGACGGUAUCUGAGACAAGAUACCGGGCCCUACGGGGCGCAGCAGGCGCGAAACCUUUACACUGCACGCCAGUGCGAUAAGGGGACUCCGAGUGCGAGGGCAUAUAGUCCUCGCUUUUCUGGACCGUAUAGGUGGUCCAGGAAUA